CCGCCCAGACUCCUACGGGAGGCAGCAGUGGGGAAUAUUGCACAAUGGGCGAAAGCCUGAUGCAGCGACGCCGCGUGAGGGAUGACGGCCUUCGGGUUGUAAACCUCUUUCAGCAGGGAAGAAGCGAAAGUGACGGUACCUGCAGAAGAAGCGCCGGCUAACUACCUGCCAGCAGCCGGGGGGGGGGGGGGGGGGCGCAAGCGUUGUCCGGAAUUAUUGGGGCGUAAAGAGCUCGUAGGCGGCUUGUCACGGUCGGUUGUGAAAGCCCGGGGGCUUAACCCCGGGUCUGCAGUCGAUACGGGCAGGCUAGAGUUCGGAAAGGGAGAUCGGAAAUUCCUGGUGUAGCGGUGAAAUGCGCAAAUAUCAGGAGGAACACCGGUGGCGAAGGCGGAUCUCUGGGCCGAUACUGACGCUGAGGAGCGAAAGCUUGGGAGCGAACAGGAUUUGAUACCCUGGUAGUCCACGCCGUAACGGUGGGCACUAGGUGUGGGCAACAUUCCAC
rnacentral:rRNA from 1 species